rnacentral:rRNA from 1 species
UACGGGGGGGGCAAGCGUUGUUCGGAAUUACUGGGCGUAAAGGGCGCGUAGGCGGCCGCCUAAGUCAGACGUGAAAUCCCUCGGCUCAACCGGGGAACUGCGUCUGAUACUGGGUGGCUUGAAUCCGGGAGAGGGAUGCGGAAUUCCAGGUGUAGCGGUGAAAUGCGUAGAUAUCAGGAGGAACACCGGUGGCGAAGGCGGGUCUCUGGGCCGAUACUGACGCUGAGGAGCGAAAGCGUGGGGAGCGAACAGG